GAUGAACGCUGGCGGUGUGCCUUAGGCAUGCAAGUAGAACGGCCCACGUCGCUCCGUAAGGAGCUAUGUGGGCAGUUGCAGACGGGUGAGUACAGCAUAGAAAUCUACCCAUUGGCGGGGAAUAACUUGGCGAAAGCCGGGCUAAUACCGCAUAAGAUCGCAAGAUGAAAGGCCUUAACGGGCCACCGAUGGAGGAGUCUAUGUCCUAUCAGUUAGUUGGCGGGGUAAUGGCCCACCAAGACGACGACGGGUAGCUGGACUGAGAGGUUGGUCAGCCACAAUAGCACUGAGAUACGGGCUAUACGUCUACGGACGGCAGCAACCGGGAAUAUUGCGCAAUGGACGAAAGUCUGACGCAGCGACACCGCGUGAAGGAUGAAGGUCUUAGGAUCGUAAACUUCUUUUGAUUUGUCAUAUGACAAGUAGAAUAAGCAUCUGCUAACCACGUGCCAGCAGCCGCGGUAAUACGUGGGAUGCAAGCGUUAUCCGGGUUUACUGGGCGUAAAGAGUUCGUAGGCGUUUGGGUACAUUCUGUUUCAAAGCCCGGGGCUUAACUCCGGAAAGGGAUGGAAUAUGGCCUGAAUUGAGUUUACUAGGGGAUACUGGAACUUGUAGUGUAGCAGUGAAAUGCGUUGAUAUUACAAGGAACACCGAGAGCGAAGGCAGGUAUCUGGGGUAUAACUGACGCUGAGUGAACGAAAGCUAGGGGAGCGAAAGGGAUUAGAGACCCCUGUAGUCCUAGCCGUAAACGAUGUCCGCUUGAUUUUCCGAGUCUUGUACUUGGGGGGUCGGAGCUAACGCGUGAAGCGGACCGCCUGGGGAGUACGACC
rnacentral:rRNA from 1 species